rnacentral:lncRNA from 1 species
UGGCAAGGAGGAGCAAAGGAGAAAGACGAAGAAAAGUGAAAGGAGUAUACCAAAAGGUUAUCAAAGAGAAAAAAUAUCCGCUCUUGGAUAUUUCCUGCUGAAAUUUUCAGAAGUAGUCCACUUCGCAGCAUUUCUGUGCAGGUAUCAGUGAUGUUGGACCCCUAAGGACAAUGGGAAAGAGAUCAUUUUUUAUACAUGGCUGGAUUUACACCCUUUUCCUUCUUGGCCAGCAAGAUCAAG